UGGCGGCAGGCCUAACACAUGCAAGUCGAACGGUAACAGGAAGAAGCUUGCUUCUUUGCUGACGAGUGGCGGACGGGUGAGUAAUGUCUGGGAAACUGCCUGAUGGAGGGGGAUAACUACUGGAAACGGUAGCUAAUACCGCAUAACGUCGCAAGACCAAAGAGGGGGACCUUCGGGCCUCUUGCCAUCGGAUGUGCCCAGAUGGGAUUAGCUUGUUGGUGGGGUAACGGCUCACCAAGGCGACGAUCCCUAGCUGGUCUGAGAGGAUGACCAGCCACACUGGAACUGAGACACGGUCCAGACUCCUACGGGAGGCAGCAGUGGGGAAUAUUGCACAAUGGGCGCAAGCCUGAUGCAGCCAUGCCGCGUGUAUGAAGAAGGCCUUCGGGUUGUAAAGUACUUUCAGCGGGGAGGAAGGGAGUAAAGUUAAUACCUUUGCUCAUUGACGUUACCCGCAGAAGAAGCACCGGCUAACUCCGUGCCAGCAGCCGCGGUAAUACGGAGGGUGCAAGCGUUAAUCGGAAUUACUGGGCGUAAAGCGCACGCAGGCGGUUUGUUAAGUCAGAUGUGAAAUCCCCGGGCUCAACCUGGGAACUGCAUCUGAUACUGGCAAGCUUGAGUCUCGUAGAGGGGGGUAGAAUUCCAGGUGUAGCGGUGAAAUGCGUAGAGAUCUGGAGGAAUACCGGUGGCGAAGGCGGCCCCCUGGACGAAGACUGACGCUCAGGUGCGAAAGCGUGGGGAGCAAACAGGAUUAGAUACCCUGGUAGUCCACGCCGUAAACGAUGUCGACUUGGAGGUUGUGCCCUUGAGGCGUGGCUUCCGGAGCUAACGCGUUAAGUCGACCGCCUGGGGAGUACGGCCGCAAGGUUAAAACUCAAAUGAAUUGACGGGGGCCCGCACAAGCGGUGGAGCAUGUGGUUUAAUUCGAUGCAACGCGAAGAACCUUACCUGGUCUUGACAUCCACAGAACUUUCCAGAGAUGGAUUGGUGCCUUCGGGAACUGUGAGACAGGUGCUGCAUGGCUGUCGUCAGCUCGUGUUGUGAAAUGUUGGGUUAAGUCCCGCAACGAGCGCAACCCUUAUCCUUUGUUGCCAGCGGUCCGGCCGGGAACUCAAAGGAGACUGCCAGUGAUAAACUGGAGGAAGGUGGGGAUGACGUCAAGUCAUCAAGGCCCUUACGACCAGGGCUACACACGUGCUACAAUGGCGCAUACAAAGAGAAGCGACCUCGCGAGAGCAAGCGGACCUCAUAAAGUGCGUCGUAGUCCGGAUUGGAGUCUGCAACUCGACUCCAUGAAGUCGGAAUCGCUAGUAAUCGUGGAUCAGAAUGCCACGGUGAAUACGUUCCCGGGCCUUGUACACACCGCCCGUCACACCAUGGGAGUGGGUUGCAAAAGAAGUAGGUAGCUUAACCUUCGGGAGGGCGCUUACCACUUUGUGAUUCAUGACUGGGGUGAAGU
rnacentral:rRNA from 1 species